CGCGUAGGCGGCCUGUUAAGUCGAACGUGAAAUCCCCGGGCUCAACCCGGGAACUGCGUCCGAUACUGGCAGGCUUGAAUCCGGGAGAGGGAUGCGGAAUUCCAGGUGUAGCGGUGAAAUGCGUAGAUAUCUGGAGGAACACCGGUGGCGAAGGCGGCAUCCUGGACCGGCAUUGACGCUGAGGCGCGAAAGCCAGGGGAGCAAACG
rnacentral:rRNA from 1 species